AAGUCGUAACAAGGUUUCCGUAGGUGAACCACGUAUCCAACGUUAAACCCCCUGUGAACCUUCAUUGUACGAGUUACCUCCACGUCAUAAACCGGCAAUCUCUGGUAAAUCAUCGCCGAACAGUUUUGAUUCAGAGACCUCUGGGAAGGGUGUACGGUAGUGCGAGGCAAUUGACCUGGCAUUCCUCUGCUUGUUAGUGUCUGAAAGUGUCACUAGCUAUGUACGGAUGGCGCAGUAACGAUCGCUGGAGGCCGACACGGCCGGCGACCAGGUCACUGGGCUACGGCCCCCCUGAUCACAACCUUUGCAUGAAAACGGGCCUGCGCUGAGGUGCGGCCACCCCUAAUGCUUGAACAACUGUUAACAAUGGAUAUCUUGGUUCUC
rnacentral:misc_RNA from 1 species